AGAAAAUGCAGCAGAGGUGAUAAACAAGGCCUGAUUCAAAGCCUGAACAUAAUCGUCACCCUAUCUAUGAGGCAAUCGGCUCAGCGGGAUUACUGAGGGUUGAGUAAGAUGUCAAGUGCAGAGGAAAGAGCAGCAGACCCCAGCUCAGUGCCCCUGAGCCUCAGCAUGGAAGUUCUUCAGGAAGUGACUGACAGGGGAAAAAAAGUCACAUCAGAAUGAAUGUAUUGGUUUUGUGUUUACCCACCUCCCUGGCUGACUCCACUUCCUUGGCCUGUCCUCCGGGCUACCAAUUAAAGUCUAAUUCCCUUUUA
ensembl:antisense Gm16180 predicted gene 16180